rnacentral:rRNA from 1 species
GACGAACGCUGGCGGCGUGCCUAAUGCAUGCAAGUCGCACGCGGCACCUUCGGGUGCUGAGUGGCGAACGGCUGAGGAACACGUGGGGACCUGUCCGGGAGUGGGGGACAACACCGCGAAAGCGGUGCUAAUCCCGCAUACGCUCUGAGGAUGAAAGCCGAAAGGCGCUCCCGGGUGGCCCUGCGGCCCAUCAGGUUGUGGGUGGGGUAACGGCCUACCAAGCCAAUGACGGGUCGCUGGUCUGUGAGGACGACCAGCCAGACUGGGACUGGGACACGGCCCAGACUCCUACGGGAGGCAGCAGCAAGGAAUUUUCGGCAAUGGGCGCAAGCCUGACCGAGCAACGCCGCGUGCAGGAUGACGGCCUUCGGGUUGUGAACUGCUUUUGCUAGGGAUGAUACGGACAGUACCUGGCGAAUAAGCCCCGGCUAACUCUGUGCCAGCAGCCGCGGUAACAC